GGUGGCUCAGUGGUAGAGCGCUUGAAUUGCAUGCAUGAGGCCCUGGGUUCGAUUCCUCAGCACCA
rfam:Dipodomys ordii contig_68781, whole genome shotgun sequence.